rnacentral:rRNA from 1 species
UACGUAGGCAGCGAGCGUUGUUCGGAGUUACUGGGCGUAAAGGGCGCGUAGGCGGCCUGCUAAGUCGGAUGUGAAAUCCCUCGGCUCAACCGAGGAACUGCAUCCGAUACUGGCGGGCUUGAAUCCGGGAGAGGGAUGUGGAAUUCCAGGUGUAGCGGUGAAAUGCGUAGAUAUCUGGAGGAACACCGGUGGCGAAGGCGGCAUCCUGGACCGGUAUUGACGCUGAGGCGCGAAAGCUAGGGGAGCAAACGGG